rnacentral:misc_RNA from 1 species
GAUGAAGAACGCAGCGAAAUGCGAUACUUGGUGUGAAUUGCAGAAUCCCGUGAACCAUCGAGUCUUUGAACGCAAGUUGCGCCCGAAGCCACUAGGCCGAGGGCACGCCUGCCUGGGCGUCACACGCCGUUGCCCCCCCAUCUACUCCUUCGGGAUUGCGGGGGGGCGGAUGAUGGCCUCCUGUGCGCCUAGCCGCGCGGUUGGCAUAAAUACCAAGUCCUCGGCGACGCACGCCACGACAAUCGGUGGUUGCGAAACCUCGGUUGCCCGUCGUGUGCGUUCGUCGCGCAUCGGGGGCUCGAAAAAAUGCUCGGCUCCGGCUGGGCUUUCAACGCGACCCCAGGUCAGGCGGGGUUACCCGCUGAAUUUAAGCAUAUCAAUAAGCGGAGGA